GAAAGUGUGUGUUCCCUAAUGAACACACACUUUCUGAUGUUCUGUUACCUACCAGCUGAAACCCCCCUUUUCUCCACCCAACUUUACACCACUCUCUUAGCAUGGGUGGCUGUAAGUACACUAGAGCAAACCUAAGUUUCCUUUUCUUUGGGUAUGUUUUUAGUUUUAAUUUUUUAUUAUUAUUAUUAUUUUUUUUUUUCAGUUGUCCCCGCCAUCUUUAACCUGACCCCCAUUAGUACUAUCCUGACUAGCUCACUGUAAACUGAAAAAAAUUAUCAAACUGUCAACCAAAAGUAAACGCAUCACCUGUGGAUGCAGUAGAGUAAAGCUAAGUUUCCUUUUGUUUGGGUAUUUUUUUUUUCUUCUUCAGUUGUCUCUGCCAUCUUUGUCCUGACCAUUAGUGCUGUCCUAACUAGCUCACUUAUGAGCAGAAAAAAAUUAUCAAACCGUCAACCAGAAGUAAAAACAUCACUUUGGACCACUCAAAGACACAGUCUACCUGCUGUUUAACCCAGUCUUUGGUCAGAGGUGAAGAAGAGAUGACAUCCUCCACACCAUCCCCCUGCUGCUCUCAACAACCAUCAUCACUGUGCUGGACAGACUGCAGCACCCACCGGGACCCUUCUCUCAUGGACUACACAAACAUGUGUUUUACCUGCUUGUGCUCCAGAUGUCCUGAAGCAGCUCUCAAGGACCACCAGACACCAGACUGAAGCAGAACUGAUGCUGUAGUACCUGUCACUCACUUGGCUCGUUCCUGCUGAACCUCCAAGAGAUAAACCCCUCUUCAAGAAAGUCUGAGGUAAUGUCUUAGUGAACUUGUGUUCAUUUAUUUUUCUUAGUAAUCUUAGCUGCUGUAUUAAUGCUUGUGAUGCUAUUGUACAGCUCUGCUGAUACCAUCGUCUUUAACAGCAGUGUUUUCUCCCAGGUCUUCUUCAAGCCAGUUAAGAGAGGAAGAACAGCUUAGACACUCAGACAGCUGAACACACCAAAGGUGGACAUCAUGCAGCCACCCUGAGCCUUGAGCCUCUCUGUGUGACGAAGCUUUGCUGCUGCAGACCUGGUGAAGUUGCUCUGGACAGAAAUAUUUUUUGCUCUGCUGCAGUGCUGAAGGUAUUCAUUGUAAUGAUGUGUGUAUUUAUUCAAUAUGUUUAGUUUCACAGAUUAUCAACACAAAUGUUUCUGUUUAUUUCCAGUUUUGAACCAGCUACAUUCUCCCACUUCAAGUCACUGUCUGUUCAUCCAC
rnacentral:lncRNA from 1 species